AGCACUUGAUCGUUACUGGUGUUUUUUUACAAGAAUCAUCCAACUUCAUUAGCACUAGAUCAGAGCCAGAUUUACAGAAUUUGUUAUAAUUUUUUAGCUGAUUUUAUGUG